rnacentral:misc_RNA from 1 species
AAGUCGUAACAAGGUUUCCGUAGGUGAACCUGCGGAAGGAUCAUUAACGAAGAACUCACACUUCUUCUCAUACACCCUGUGAACCGUCGUCUUCGGACGCUCAUACAUACUCUAGUGUUGUCCAUGAAUGUCAUUUGUUUUCGAACAUAAAUUAUAACUUUCAGCAACGGAUCUCUUGGCUCUC